rnacentral:rRNA from 1 species
UCAAGUUAUUAAGGGUGCAGGGCGGAUGCCUUGGCACUAGGAGCCGAUGAAGGACGUGAUAAGCUGCGAUAAGCUUCGGGGAGUUGCACGUAAACUUUGAUCCGAAGAUUUCCGAAUGAGGAAACUCACUUAGAGUAAUGUCUAAGUAUCAUUAAGUGAAUACAUAGCUUAAUGAGGGGAACUCAGGGAACUGAAACAUCUAAGUACCUGAAGGAAGAGAAAGAAAUUCGAUUCCGUAAGUAGCGGCGAGCGAACGCGGAUUAGCCCAAACCAAUAAAGUUUUCUUUAUUGGGGUUGCGGACAUAUCAUAACGAAGAGGUAUCGUAAUUGAAGAGGUUUGGAAAGACCCACCACAGAAGGUAAUAGUCCUGUAUGUUAAACGAGAAGACUUUAGAUAUGAUCCAGAGUACCACGGGACACGUGAAACCCUGUGGGAAGCAGGAGGGACCACCCUCCAAGGCUAAAUACUACCUAGUGACCGAUAGCGUAUAGUACCGUGAGGGAAAGGUGAAAAGAACCCCGGGAGGGGAGUGAAAUAGAACCUGAAACCCUGCACUUACAAGCUGUGGAAGCACAUUUCUUGUGUGACCGCGUACUUUUUGUAGAACGGGCCAACGAGUUACGUUAAGUAGCAAGGUUAAGCACUUAAGGUGCGGAGCCGUAGCGAAAGCGAGUUUUAACUGAGCGUUCAGUUACUUGACGUAGACCCGAAACCGGGCGACCUACCCAUGAGCAGGAUGAAGCGAAAGUAAAAUUUCGUGGAGGUCCGAACCCACGAGCGUUGAAAAGCUCGGGGAUGACUUGUGGGUAGCGGUGAAAUUCCAAUCGAGCCCGGAGAUAGCUGGUUCUCCCCGAAAUAGCUUUAGGGCUAGCCUCAAGGUGAGAGAUACGGAGGUAGAGCACUGAAUGUCCUAGGGGGUAUUGCACCUACCGAAGACUAUCAAACUCCGAAUGCCGUCAUCUUAUACUUGGGAGUCAGACUGUGGGUGAUAAGAUUCAUAGUCGAAAGGGCAACAGCCCAGAUCGUCAGCUAAGGUCCCUAAAUGUAAGUUAAGUGGUAAAGGAUGUGGGAUUGCACAGACAACCAGGAUGUUGGCUUAGAAGCAGCCACUCAUUCAAAGAGUGCGUAAUAGCUCACUGGUCGAGUGAUCCUGCGCCGAAGAUUUCCGGGGCUAAAACUUACUACCGAAGCUACGGCAUCAGUAAUGAUGGGUAGGGGAGCUUCCCAUACGGGUUGAAGCAUGACCGUAAGGACAUGUGGACAGUAUGGGAGUGAGAAUGUUGGCAUGAGUAGCGAGAUGUGGGUGAGAAUCCCACAGGCCGUAAACCCAAGGUUUCCAGGGGAAGGUUCGUCCGCCCUGGGUUAGUCGGGACCUAAGCUGAGGCCGAAAGGCGUAGGUGAUGGACAACAGGUUGAUAUUCCUGUACUACCGAUAACCGUUUGAGAGAAGGGAUGACACAGUAGGAUAAGCUAAGCACACUGUUGGUUAUGUGUGCCCAAGCAUUGAGGCAGUCAAAGUAGGCAAAUCCGCUUUGAUAAUGCUGGGAUGUGAUGGGGAGCGAAAUUUAGUAGCGAAGUAGCUGAUUUCACACUGUCAAGAAAAGUCUCUAUCGAGGUUAAAGGUACCCGUACCGCAAACCGACACAGGUGGGUGAGGAGAGUAUCCUAAGGCCAGCGAGAGAACUGUUGUUAAGGAACUCGGCAAAAUGACCCCGUAACUUAGGGAUAAGGGGUGCCACCAUCAGGUGGCCGCAGAGAAUAGGCCCAAGCGACUGUUUACCAAAAACAUAGGUUUCUGCUAAGUCGCAAGACGAUGUAUAGGAGCUGACGCCUGCCCGGUGCUGGAAGGUUAAGGGGAUCUGUUAGAGCAAUCGAAGCAGUGAACUUAAGCCCCAGUAAACGGCGGCCGUAACUAUAACGGUCCUAAGGUAGCGAAAUUCCUUGUCGGGUAAGUUCCGACCCGCACGAAAGGCGUAACGAUUUGGGCACUGUCUCAACAACAGACUCGGUGAAAUUGUAAUUCCGGUGAAGAUGCCGGAUACCUGCGACAGGACGGAAAGACCCCAUGGAGCUUUACUGUAGCUUGACAUUGGGUCUUGGUACUACAUGUACAGGAUAGGUGGGAGGCUUUGAAACCAGGACGCCAGUUUUGGCGGAGCCAUCCUUGGGAUACCACCCUUGUAGUACUGGGACUCUAACCAUAGGCCAUGAAUCUGGUCUUGGGACACUGUCAGGUGGGCAGUUUGACUGGGGCGGUCGCCUCCCAAAAGGUAACGGAGGCGCUCAAAGGUUCUCUCAGUACGGUCGGAAAUCGUACGUAGAGUGUAAAGGCAAAAGAGAGCUUGAUUGCAAGACAUACAGGUCGAGCAAGGAUGAAAAUCGGACUUAGUGAUCCGGUGGUUCUGCGUGGAAGGGCCAUCGCUCAACGGAUAAAAGCUACCCUGGGGAUAACAGGCUUAUCUCCCCCAAGAGUCCACAUCGACGGGGAGGUUUGGCACCUCGAUGUCGGCUCAUCACAUCCUGGGGCUGUAGUAGGUCCCAAGGGUUGGGCUGUUCGCCCAUUAAAGUGGUACGCGAGCUGGGUUCAGAACGUCGUGAGACAGUUCGGUCCCUAUCCGUCGCAGGCGUAGGAAAUUUGAGAAGACCUGUCCUUAGUACGAGAGGACCGGGAUGGACGUACCUCUGGUGUACCAGUUGUNNNNNNNNNNNNNNNNNNNNNNNNNNNNNNCUGCCAAGGGCAUGGCUGGGUAGCUAUGUACGGAAUGGAUAAGCGCUGAAAGCAUCUAAGCGCGAAGCCAACUUCAAGAUAAGAUUUCCCACCGCAAGGGUAAGACCCCAGAAAGACUAUCUGGUUGAUAGGUCGAAGGUGUAAGUGCAGCAAUGUAUUUAGCUUAUCGAUACUAAUAGGUCGAGGACUUGACCAA